GCACUCUAAGUUGACUGCCGGUGACAAACCGGAGGAAGGUGGGGAUGACGUCAAAUCAUCAUGCCCCUUAUGAUUUGGGCUACACACGUGCUACAAUGGACAAUACAAAGGGCAGCGAAACUGCGAGGUCAAGCAAAUCCCAUAAAGUUGUUCUCAGUUCGGAUUGUAGUCUGCAACUCGACUAUAUGAAGCUGGAAUCGCUAGUAAUCGUAGAUCAGCAUGCUACGGUGAAUACGUUCCCGGGUCUUGUAC
rnacentral:rRNA from 1 species